rnacentral:rRNA from 1 species
GAUGAACGCUGGCGGCGUGCCUAAUACAUGCAAGUCGAGCGAACGGACGAGGAGCUUGCUUCUCUGAUGUUAGCGGCGGACGGGUGAGUAACACGUGGAUAACCUACCUAUAAGACUGGGAUAACUUCGGGAAACCGGAGCUAAUACCGGAUAAUAUUUUGAACCGCAUGGUUCAAAAGUGAAAGACGGUCUUGCUGUCACUUAUAGAUGGAUCCGCGCUGCAUUAGCUAGUUGGUAAGGUAACGGCUUACCAAGGCAACGAUGCAUAGCCGACCUGAGAGGGUGAUCGGCCACACUGGAACUGAGACACGGUCCAGACUCCUACGGGAGGCAGCAGUAGGGAAUCUUCCGCAAUGGGCGAAAGCCUGACGGAGCAACGCCGCGUGAGUGAUGAAGGUCUUCGGAUCGUAAAACUCUGUUAUUAGGGAAGAACAUAUGUGUAAGUAACUGUGCACAUCUUGACGGUACCUAAUCAGAAAGCCACGGCUAACUACGU